GCCUCGGUGGCGUAGUGGUCAAGACGCUCGCCUGGUAAACAGGAGGGCUUGGGUUCGAACCCAGCCGAGGCA
rfam:Asian citrus Psyllid, Diaphorina citri - Florida Strain, whole genome shotgun sequence.